rnacentral:rRNA from 1 species
AAGUGAUUAAUACCCCAUACUAAAUUCUCUCUCCGGAGAGUUUUUUUAAAGGUGCAAACCGCAGGAGGAUUGGAAUAUGUUCUAUUAGCUAGUUGGUGAGUUAAAAGCCCACCAAGGCGAUGAUAGAUAGCUGGUCUUAGAGGAUGAACAGCCACAAUGGGAUUGAGAUACGGCCCAUAUUCCUACGGGAAGCAGCAGUAGGGAAUCUUCCACAAUGGACGAAAGUCUGAUGGAGCAAUGCCAUGUGAAUGAUGAAGGCCUUUUUGGUCGUAAAAUUCUUUUAGGGGGGAAAACUCUGAUGGUACCCCCUGAAUAAGUGACAGCAAACUAUGUGCCAGCAGCUGCGGUAAUACAUAGGUCGCGAGCGUUAUUCGGAUUUAUUGGGCGUAAAGCAAGCGCAGGCGGAUUGACAAGUUCUGUGUUAAAAGCAGCUGCUCAACAGUUGUUUGCACCGAAUACUGUCAGUCUAGAAUGUGGUAGGAAGUUUUGGAAUUAAAUGUGGAGCGGUGGAAUGUGUAGAUAUAUUUAAGAACACCAGAGGCGAAAGCGAAAACUUAGGCCAUUAUUGACGCUUAGGCUUGAAAGUGUGGGUAGCAAAUGGGAUUAGAUACCCCAGUAGUCCACACCGUAAACGAUGGGUAUUAGAUGUCGGAUUUUGAGGUUCGGCGUUGUAGCUUACGUGUUAAAUACCCCGCCUGGGUAGUACAUAUGCAAAUAUGAAACUCAAAGGAAUUGACGGGGACCUGAACAAGUGGUGGAACAUGUUGCUUAAUUCGAUAAUACACGAAAAACCUUACCAAGGUUUGACAUCCCUCGCGAAACUAUGGAAACAUAGCGGAGGUUAUCGAGGUGACAGGUGGUGCAUGGCUGUCGUCAGCUCGUGUCAUGAGAUGUUUGGUUAAGUCCCGCAACGAGCGCAACCCUACUCUUUAGUUGAUUAUCUAAAGAGACUGCACAGUAAUGUAGAGGAAGGUUGGGAUCACGUCAAGUCAUCAUGCCCCUUAUGCCUUGGGCCGC